rnacentral:rRNA from 1 species
AGUGAACGCUGGCGGUAGGCCUAACACAUGCAAGUCGAACGGCAGCACAGGAGAGCUUGCUCUCUGGGUGGCGAGUGGCGGACGGGUGAGGAAUACAUCGGAAUCUACUCUGUCGUGGGGGAUAACGUAGGGAAACUUACGCUAAUACCGCAUACGACCUACGGGUGAAAGCAGGGGACCUUCGGGCCUUGCGCGAUUGAAUGAGCCGAUGUCGGAGUAGCUAGUUGGCGGGGUAAAGGCCCACCAAGGCGACGACCCGUAGCUGGUCUGAGAGGAUGAUCAGCCACACUGGAACUGAGACACGGUCCAGACUCCUACGGGAGGCAGCAGUGGGGAAUAUUGGACAAUGGGCGCAAGCCUGAUCCAGCCAUACCGCGUGGGUGAAGAAGGCCUUCGGGUUGUAAAGCCCUUUUGUUGGGAAAGAAAUCCAGCUGGCUAAUACCCGGUUGGGAUGACGGUACCCAAAGAAUAAGCACCGGCUAACUUCGUGCCAGCAGCCGCGGUAA